rnacentral:rRNA from 1 species
GAUCGAGCUACAAAGAGCUAACGGUGGAUACCUAGGCACGCAGCAGCGAAGAAGGACGUAGCGACCAACGAUAUGCUCCGGGGAGCUGGAAGCAAGCAUUGAGCCGGAGGUUUCCCAAUGGGGCAACCCUAAAUACGGUUUACUGAAUACAUAGGUAGACGCGAGCGAACCAGGCGAACUGAAACAUCUUAGUAGCCUGAGGAAGAGAAAACAAAAGUGAUUCCCUCAGUAGCGGCGAGCGAAGGGGGAGUAGCCUAAACCAUCCACUUCGGUAGAUGGGGUAGUGGGACAGCACAACGAGAUUGGGAAAAUUAGACGAAGCAGCUGAAAACUGCACCGGAGAAGGUAAAAGUCCUGUAGUCGAAAAUGGAACCAGAUCAGCUGUAUCCCGAGUAGCACGGAACACGAGAAAUUCCGUGUGAAUCAGCCAGGACCACCUGGUAAGGCUAAAUAUGUCUGGGUGACCGAUAGAGAACAAGUACCGCGAGGGAAAGGUGAAAAGAACCCCGGGAGGGGAGUGAAAUAGAACAUGAAACCGUUAGCUUACAAGCAAUGGGAGUCCGAUUGAACGGAUGACCGUGUGCCUGUUGAAGAAUGAGCCGGCGACUUACAGGCGGUGGCAGGUUAAGGCGUAAUUGCCGAAGCCAAAGCGAAAGCGAGUCCGAAUAGGGCCAUAGUCACUGUUUGUAGACCCGAACCCGGGCGAUCUAACCAUGUCCAGGAUGAAGCUUGGGUAAAGCUAAGUGAAAGUCCGAACCGACCAAUGUUGAAAAAUUGGCGGAUGAGGUGUGGUUAGGGGUGAAAUGCCAAUCGAGCCCGGAGCUAGCUGGUUCUCCCCGAAAUGUGUUUAGGCGCAGCGGUAAAGCAGAUUCAGAUGGGGGUAAAGCACUGUUUCCCUAAGGGCUGCGAGAGCGGUACCAAAGGGAGGCAAACUCAGAAUACCAUUUGAAGCUUUGCCAGUGAGACGGUGGGGGAUAAGCUUCAUCGUCGAGAGGGAAACAGCCCAGACCACCAGCUAAGGUCCCCAAAUGAACUCUAAGUGAGAAAGGAGGUUGGAGUCCCUAGACAACCAGGAGGUUUGCCUAGAAGCAGCAAUCCUUGAAAGAGUGCGUAAUAGCUCACUGGUCAAGGGCACCGGCGCCGAAAAUGAAUGGGGCUAAGAGUUCUACCGAAGCUGUGGACUUACUACGUAAGUGGUAGGGGAGCGUUCUGUGUGGGGUGAAGCACUAGCGGCAAGCAGGUGUGGACGGCACAGAAGUGAGAAUGUCGGCUUAAGUAGCGCAAACAUUGGUGAGAAUCCAAUGCCCCGAAACCCUAAGGGUUCCUCCGGAAGGCUCGUCCGCAGAGGGUAAGUCAGGACCUAAGGCGAGGCCGAAGGGCGUAGUCGAUGGAUAACGGGUUAAUAUUCCCGUACCAUAAAAGGUUGGUACAGGAGGACGAACAAGGUUAAGGCCAUCCGGGUGAUGGAAGUCCCGGUGUAAGUAACUGAGGUGAUGAGAUCUGGCGAAAACAGACUGAGCUGAGGUGCGAGUCCGACAAGCUACGGCUUGGAAGUGGUCAAGGUCAUGGUUCCGAGAAAAGACCUAACUAACAUAAAUCAUUUAUGCCUGUACCCUAAACCGACACAGGUAGGGUGGUAGAGAAUACCGAGGGGCGCGAGUUAACUCUCUCUAAGGAACUCGGCAAAAUUACCCCGUAACUUUGGGAGAAGGGGUGCCCCCCUAGGGGGGUCGCAGUGAAGAGGCCCAGGCGACUGUUUACCAAAAACACAGGUCUCCGCGAAGUCGCAAGACGCAGUAUGGGGGCUGACGCCUGCCCAGUGCCGGAAGGUUAAGGAAGUUGGUCAGUCUUCGGAUAAAGCUAACGACUGAAGCCCCGGUGAACGGCGGCCGUAACUAUAACGGUCCUAAGGUAGCGAAAUUCCUUGUCGGGUAAGUUCCGACCCGCACGAAAGGCGUAACG